UGGGGAAUAUUGCACAAUGGGCGCAAGCCUGAUGCAGCCAUGCCGCGUGUGUGAAGAAGGCUUUCGGGUUGUAAAGCACUUUCAGCGGGGAGGAAGGCGUUAAGGUUAAUAACCUUGGCGAUUGACGUUACCCGCAGAAGAAGCACCGGCUAACUCCGUGCCAGCAGCCGCGGUAAUACGGAGGGUGCAAGCGUUAAUCGGAAUUACUGGGCGUAAAGCGCACGCAUGCGGUCUGUCAAGUCGGAUGUGAAAUCCCCGGGCUCAACCUGGGAACUGCAUGCGAAACUGGGAGGCUAGAGUCUUGUAGAGGGGGGUAGAAUUCCAGGUGUAGCGGUGAAAUGCGUAGAGAUCUGGAGGAAUACCGGUGGCGAAGGCGGCCCCCUGGACAAAGACUGACGCUCAGGUGCGAAAGAGUGGGGAGCAAACAGG
rnacentral:rRNA from 1 species